UUAUGGCCAUAUCACAUUGAAAUAUCAGUUCUCCUAUGAUCACUGAAAUUAAGCAACAUUAAGCCUAAUCAGUACCUAGAUGAGUAACCAUUUGGGAAUACCAGGUGCUGUA